rnacentral:tRNA from 1 species
GCCGAUGUGAUGGAAUGGUAGACUUCACGCGUUGAGAUCGCGUGGCACGAAAGUGCGUGGGGGUUCAAAUCCCCCCAUCGGUACAA